UACGGGGGGAGCAAGCGUUGUUCGGAUUUACUGGGCGUAAAGGGCGCGUAGGCGGUAGCACAAGUCAGUUGUGAAAUCUCCGGGCUUAACUCGGAAAGGUCAACUGAUACUGUGCGACUAGAGUGCAGAAGGGGCAACUGGAAUUCUCGGUGUAGCGGUGAAAUGCGUAGAUAUCGAGAGGAACACCGAUGGCGAAGGCAGCUCGCUGGGACGGUACUGACGCUGAGACGCGAAAGCGUGGGGAGCGAACAGG
rnacentral:rRNA from 1 species